rnacentral:lncRNA from 10 species
CCAGCACCUGGCCCAAAAUUUUAAAAAUAAGCAUUUAUCACUUUUACCAAAAAAAAAAAAAUGCUUUUAGUUGUGGUAGAUGUUGUUAAAGUACAAAAUUAACAACACAAGCUAUAGAAGUGAGAAAAAGAAAAGAUGAACUCUAGGGUGUCUAGGGCAAACUAGAAAAGCUUUCAACAAGAAUAAUGCUAUAAUUUUUGGUUCCUGAAAAAAUUCAUCAUAGAAAUAGCCAAGAAGAUAUUCUAAAACCAAUGCCAUAGUAACUAGAAAUUUCCACAAUUAUUCACAAGAGUAAAAUUAUUUUCUAGGCCCUAGAAAAUAUACAUAUCACAUUGAUUACAUAAGGGCCUGCAGUGAACUUUUAAGUAUUUGUAUUGCAUAUUAAAACACAAUUUUAUAACAUACCAAAGCAUAGUCAAUACUACAAGGUUGGCUACAAUAAACAAUACACAUCCACGCUGGGCGCGGUGGCUCAUGCCUGUAACCCUAGCACUUUGGGAGGCCCAGGUGGGUGGAUUGCUAGAGUCCAGGAGUUCAAGAUCAGCCUGGGGAGCAUGGCAAAACCCCGCCUCUACAAAAAAUAUGGAAAUUAGCCAGGUGUGGCAUGUACUUGUAGUCCCAGCUACCAGGGAGGCCGAGGCAGAAGAAUCGCUUGGCUCCAGGAGGUUGAGGCUGCAGUGAGCUGUGGCGGCGCCGCUGCAUUCCAGCCUGGGUGAGAGUGAGACCCUGUUUCAAACAACAACAAACAAAACACAUGUAAUUGACAAUUGUUUUGUUCUUCUUCCACUUUAGAAGUGGCGUAAUGCUUGAUGUAAUACCUCUCUUUUCUGUGAGCAAGGGGGGAUGUCUGAAGUCACUCCUUGGAACUCAGUGCUGAGCUAAUCGAGGACGAGUACGAUUUAAAUGUCUGGGUGCUGAUGCUAACGAUGCCCUUCUUUUAACUGAAAAUUGUUUUAUUAGGUUGGUGCAAAAGUAAUUGUGGGUUUUGCCAUUAUUUUCAAUGGCAAAUACCGCAAUUACUUUUGCACCAGUGUAAUAAGUAUCCAGAAGGGCUGGCCUAGCAUUCUCCUUCCUCCAUACCUGUGUGCAUACAGAGCUCAGGGGCCAGGUUAACACGGGUUCUAGGAAGGCUUCUGCAGGCUCUGAAGACAGCCCUCCCACCGUUCCCUCCCUGUGGACCACCAGGCACUGUUACUGACAGCCAUCAGAGCUCAGAACCAUGCUGCUGCUCCUGCUGCUGCUGCUGCUGCUUGGCUGUUUUCAUCUGGGCCAGUGGAAUGUAAGGGAGAGAUGGCAAUUGAGGUGCAAAAGCUCAUCAAACACGAUCUGUGGAGGCACAGAAUUAAAGUAUGUCGAGAGUGGAAAGGAUCUUUGCUAUGAGCUGCUCCAACCUCUAAGAGCCGCCACCACCACCACCACCACUGACAAGACAGAGCACACGCCCUGUGCCUGGAAUUAUGACAGAGAUGGUUUAAUUUCAUGUAAUUGUCAGAACUGUGUGAGGAGCUGGUCAGCUCUGACCUGGAGUGUGUCUACCCUGACCGUGUGACACCGGGAUCAAGACCCUCUCCUGGGGUCUUGAGGACGCCACAUGUGGGUGAGGCAGCCAUUGAGCAAGGCAGACCCUGCUGAGGGUCUUGUGGUGGGCAUGGCCAUGUGCCACUCAGAUCCCCCUUCAAGGCGGGCCUGGAUGCCGCAGCUGUGGGGAGUGCCUCACCUGCAAGUGCCUCACCCCACCCCAGACCAGGCCAACCUUCACAGACUGAUUGAGGCUGGUACAUAAAGGCCUGGGGUUUCAGCCUAUGUGGGACCAUUCUGAGGGGCUGUUUUAGCCCUAGAGGUCACCGCGGAGUUGGCCGAGGUUGUCCUUGGGCCUAAAUCCCAGCUUGAUUUCUCAGUCCACCCCUGCCUCCUUCUCCUCCCUUCCUCAGGCGUUGCUCUAAAGAGCGCUUGCUCCUAAGCCUCCUGCACAUGGAACUCCACCAUGGAAUCUGCUUCCCAGGAACUCACCCUGGGACCAGCCCCUCUGAGACUCAAGUCAACAUUUGGUCCUAGGGCUGCAAAGAGGAGGUGCUAAGAGGCCAAAGGCUACUUCCACCUGGAGAACGGGCCCCGCGUGCCAGCUCCCCCAAGGCCUGGCCAGGAUGCUCUGCUCGGAGGCCUGUCCUGACUUCCUCUGCUCAUUGCCACCUGAAAUUACCUAACCAACACCUUUCUUCCUCCCACCCUUCCACAAAUACUUAUUGAGCAUCUGCUAGGUGCCAGUUACUGUUCUGCACAAUGGCAAUUACAGCCAUGAAAGAAAUAAAACAGAAACAUUCCUGUUCUCAUGAAGCUUCCAUUCUAGCAGGGGAGCAGACAAAUAUCAAAUCAAUAAUCAAAAUAAUGUCACUUGGUGAUAGUACUGUGGGGAGGAAAAAGCAGGGAGUGGAGAGGGUUAGGGAGCAGGAUGGAGGAGACACAGUGAACAGGAAAGGGCUCACUGAAAAGGUGACUUUCGAGAAAAACCUGAAGGAGGUGAGGGACUGGGUCACAAAGCUAUUUUGGGAAAAAGCCUUCAAACAGCAGGAACAGCAAAUGCAAAGACCCUGAGGCCAGAGCUUGCUGUGUGUGUUCAAGGAAGAGCAAGGCUGCUCCAGUUGCAGUCGAGGGAGUAAGCAGUAAGAAGUGACCUCAGGGACUGUGGGAGGGAUCAUGGGACUGCAGGUUGCGCAGGCCCCCUAGGCCACUGUAGGGACUUUGGCUUGGACUCAGAAUGCGAUGAGUCACCAGAGGGCUCUGAGCACAGGAGAAAUGAACAUUUUAAAGAAUCACUAUAGGCUGGGAGUGGAGGCUCAUGUCUGUAAUCCCACCACUUUGGGAGGCGGAGGUGGGAGGAUCACUUAAGUCCAGGAGUUCAAGACCAGCCUGGGCAAUGUGGUGAAACCCUGUCUCUACCGAAACACAGAAACACAGACACACACACACACACAGACACAGACACAGACACACACACACACACACAGACACAGACACAGACACACACACACACACACACACACACAAAUUAGCUGGGCAUGGUGGUGCACGUCUGUGGUCCCAGCUACUCAAGAGGCUAAGGUGGGAGGAUGGCUUGAGCCCAGGGGACAGAGGCUGCAGUAAGCCAAGAUCACACCACUGCACUCCAGCCUGGUGACAAAGUGAGAUCCUGUCUAAUAAUAAUAAUAAUAAUCAUAAUCAUAAUCAUAAUCAUAAUCAUAAUCAUAAUCACUAUGGCUGCUAUGUGGAGAAUGACCGAAGGGGUAAGGGCAGGAACGGGAGGCCCCUUAGACUGUUCCAGUGAGUCCAGGUGGGAGGUGGUUGUGGCUCGGGUGAGGGCUGGGGUCAGAUUCUGGGGAUAUUUUGAAGGUGGAGCUAAUGGGAUUUGCUGUUGAUCCUUCCAGGGGAGACAGCUGUGUAGCCGGCAGCGUUGUGCACAUGCGUGCAGCCGGCAGCAUUUAUCAAUGAGGCAAACAUCGUGCAGUGGCCUUGGAGCCACACACACCUGGAGCCACACACACCUAGGUCUGGAUCUCAACUCCACGCAUCCUAGUUGCUCAUCUCCAGCAGGCUACGUCUAACUCUCCCAGCCUCCAUUUCUUAUAAACUGGGGAUAACAAUUUUUAUGUUAUGAGAUUACUGUGAAAAUUAAGUGAGAUAAUGUAAAAGAAGGUCUGGCACAAAGUUAAUUAUGAUGAGUUUAAAUAAUGUGGUUUCCUGUGAGUCCUGAAUAUACAGCAGAGAUCAGUCGGGGGAGGGGCGAAUGAGCAAAGGAUCCCUGCAGGGGAGGCUGGGAUCCUGCAGGAGGCACUUGCCAGAGCUGGGGGCAGUCAAGACGACCCAGGAGGGCAGUGGUGGGGAGACGGUGAGAGUCCACGGCCCACUUGCCUUCCCAAGUGAGGAUGGGGAAUUCCAAAGCCCAGGAAGACGCGGGUGGGGCGACCUUUAGAGAAAAGACAGUCAGAAGGGAAUUCCUUGGAUAAAGGCGGAGAUGUGGAAAAUGGGAACGCCACCAAAAUCUAGAGAGGAUGAGGUCAUCCCAGCUGAAGCCAAUCAAAACUUUCCCUGGAGCAGGCAAAAAAAAUAAAUAAAUAAAUGGAAGGGUUUUAGUAGGCCAGAAACUGGAGAUUUCUAGCAGCUGCCAAGAAAGGAAGCGAGCCCUGGGCCCAGAGCCCAUAAGCCCUGGGAGGCCCCACCCUGGCUAGAAAAAGAGACUGGUGGGUGCUGGGGCGCAGCCCAGAAGACAAAAGGGGAGGGGAAGCCAUCUGAGUUGUCUGGGGGUGGUGAUGGGGUGCGCUCCUGGAAAAGCCAUUAGAUCCUCGUCGGAGGCGGCCAGCAGAGCUCUGUGUCCCACUGCUCUGUAGGCAUUUUUCCUUAAGAAAGACAAGAAACAAGAUUAGUAUUCCUUCAAUCAGAACUGUUCUACUCAUUUAUACUUAGGAUGCUUUCCCAAUAAACCAGGGUCUAGCCAGGAGUUUAAACCGAGGGUCUGCCCUUUUUACCUACCUAGAGAGAGUGCUGGGAUUGAAUAAAUGUGGGUUCAAAUCCUGCUUGAUUGUGGGCAGGGGGCUUGACCCCGGAGUGCUGUGACAUGCAGAUCACACUUGAUUGUGGGCAGGGGGCUUGACCCCAGAGUGCUGUGACAUGGAGAUCACACUUGAUUGUGGGCAAGGGGCUUGACCCCUGAAUGCUGUGACAUGGAGAUCGCACUUGAUUGUGGGCAGGGGGCUUGACCCCUGAAUGCUGUGACAUGGAGAUCGCACUUGAUUGUGGGCAGGGGGCUUGACCUCAGAGUGCUGUGACAUGGAGAUCGCACUCACUUGCAUGUGUUUGGGGGUGGCUGGCUUCUCCCCUCCACCCCCAGGGUGUUAGAGAAUUGAAGGAGACAUAACGACCGUGAGAGUGGACACUUGGGCACACAGUCCAUUCUUUCCCGUGUCAGGAAAGUCACAGGCGCUGGCUUCCAGGGGUAGGAGUGGAGGGUCUGGAAUAGUGCCCCUGGUCCCAGGGCAGGAGUGUGACCCUUCUUCAGUGUCCUGCAGUUCAGACUCCCUCCCCCUGUGGUUCCACCAUCUGUUCCCACUUCUCCAAGGUCCCAAAUAAAUGGCAUAGAGCCCUCAGGAGGGGAGGCAUCCUUUUCCCAGACUCCCAGACCCCAUGUGGUCCAGGGUGCUGACGUCGGCCAGAAGCAGCCGUGGCGGAGCUUUUC